AGCUGCUGGAGUGUCCCGGUGUGGAUAG
rnacentral:sRNA from 1 species